UUUGUUGGAAUAAGUUUUUUUGUUUAAUUAUAAAGACUGUUAAAAAUGACACCAAAGUCGGCCAUUUUAGUUGCUCUGUUGGCAGUACUGUCGUUCAGUUUAUUGAUAAAUGGGAGCACAGCUGCCGAGUGCACACUACUAGGGCUCCCUAUCAUUGGUACUGAGUGCUUGAAAGAAUGUGAGCUUGCGCCUGUUUUUGGAAACUGUGAAGCAGGACUUAGCUGUUGUAACGCAGAUGUUUCUGCUGCCGAGUGCACACUACUAGGGCUCCCUAUCAUUGGUACUGAGUGCUUGAAAGAAUGUGAGCUUGUGCCUGUUUUUGGAAACUGUAAAGCAGGACUUAGCUGUUGUUUACUUACAUGAUUUAACGGACGGUACGCAUUUUAAAUAUUGAAGAAACACUACAUCAGAAGUUUUCAAUUUGGCUAAGAUGACCAAAACGAAUAGACAAGUGUUUUUUUGAUUGAUUUAUUUAUGACAAAAUAUAUGUAUAAAGUUACA